rnacentral:rRNA from 1 species
AAAUUGAAGAGUUUGAUCAUGGCUCAGAUUGAACGCUGGCGGCAGGCCUAACACAUGCAAGUCGAACGGUAACAGGAAGCAGCUUGCUGCUUUGCUGACGAGUGGCGGACGGGUGAGUAAUGUCUGGGAAACUGCCUGAUGGAGGGGGAUAACUACUGGAAACGGUGGCUAAUACCGCAUARCGUCGCAAGACCAAAGAGGGGGACCUUCGGGC